rnacentral:SRP_RNA from 2 species
GCUGGGCAUGGUGGCAUGUGCCUGUAGUCCCAGUUACUUGGGAGGCUGAAGCAGGAGGAACCCUUGAGCCCAAAAGUUCUGGGCUGUAGUGAGCUAUGCCAGUUGAGUGUCUGCACUAAGUUCAGCAUCAGUAUGGUAACCUCCUGUUAGCGGGGCCUACGGGGCUGGCAAAGGAGGGGUGAAUGGACCCAGGUCGGAAGCAGAGCAGGUCAUAACUCCGGUGCUGAUCAGUAGUUGGAUCGCCUGUGAAUAGCCACUGCACUCCAGCCUGGGCAACAUAGCAAGACCCUAUUGUUA